CUCAUGCCUACACCAGAACUGCUCUUUAAUGUUCUCUAGAGAUCCAUGGAAAAGAGACUGCUGAUUUUUUUUUCUCUUGGCAUCAACACCAUCAAGACACACAGCAUCCUUAUGCUGGCUGCAGGGAGGUGCAAAACCACCUACCACGUUAUUCAUCCACUUCAGCUUUUAGCUUGGGAUCACAAAAAGUUGGCGUUGCCUCUUCAGGAUGUGGUGAAACCAAAGUGCAUCGGUGUGGCAAACAGGAUGCUGUUGUAAUCCAGUUUCUCUUUGUGGUAAUCAAUAAUUCUGGUCAUUAGAAAAGGUAUAAUUUCAUUAUAGUUGCCAAACACAGUGGAAUUCUUAGAGACUUUCCUGAUGGGUUUGACCCUGGCAUCAGCUGGGUUACUGUUGAUAUAAUGAAUUUCACAGUCAGUGAAACACUUUGCACCUGGGAAUCCCUCCAGCCCUGUGAUGAAAGGGGGCAGCUGUGUCCUGGAAGGCCUCUUAAAGCAGCAUUAAUCCCCACUGCACGUUGAGGACAUUUUUGGGCAAAAGAGCCCACUCAAAACACCUAUGUGGAUAAGAAGCUUAUGCCAAACACCUCUGAGGAGAGUAAAUCUUUCCAUGUCUUGAUGUAUUCAUAUAAUUCAUAAGUUUCUGAACCUCAGAUCAAGAAGGUUUUAGAAGCUGAGGACCCAUGACUGAAUGCCUUGUUCCUGUUGCAUUGUCUCCAAUGCGUGCAUUUUUCAAAGGUAGGUGAGUGAAUCAGCCCCAGUUGGAGAGGUCAGCCUUGCAAUAUUUCCACCAUCACUUGCACUUGGAAUACUUGUGAGAAGAGAAGGUUUACAUGGAAAAAUAUUGGAAGGAAAUUAUUUUGGAUCAUACAGCAUGAUAUCUUUGUGCAUGAUGGGUAAUCCUGGUCACAGCUUCCCCAGGGAGAAAGAAACAUGGCCAACCUCUUUUCUUUUAUCAAAGGUGGCAUCAACGAGCUAAUUGUCUAAUUUGAUUAACACUUUUAUUAUGUCUGUUUGUGCCAGCUUUUAUGUCCAUGUGGGAAAUAAGACACUUGUCCUUUUUCAAGUUGCUUUGAAAAGGUCAGCAGAAGACAAGUUCUAAUUGGAGCUCCUGCUCAUCUUAUAUCUAAGAGCAGAGCAGGACACUUCCUGUAUAUCCUUGUCACAGCACAUCCCAGUCUGUUGGCCUGCACACACAAACACUCUAUAGAAAAGUGUAGGUAAUUAAUGCAAGUAGUGAAAGUCGUUCUCUGAUUUGCCUUUAUAUCAAUCAUUUGAAGUUCAGACAUCUCAGUAAACAUUGCAAAAUGACAGAUUUUUAAAAAGUCUUCUGUGUGAUGACUAAAGUUGUAGAACAACUUUGAAUUCCUGGUAGUUGUAGUAGUACUUGCCUUUCUAAAUAUUGCAUAUUCCACAUUAGGAAUAACUUAGAGAAGGUAUUUAGUAUGAGUAAGUCAAUUUGUAGAAAAAGAUGUAAGAGGUGAGGUAUCAGGUUCAAGGUAAAUUUAUGAAGCCUUUACUUGCUCAUGUUUCAGUAGGAAUCCACAGGGGCAGAUUUUUUGUAGCAUGCAUUAAAUUAGUUUUUUGCCUUAGUGCAAUGAAAGAUUGUUCAAAUCAUUGUUAAUAAACCAUCUGUCCCUGUGUAACUUUAAAUGUUUGGUCAUGAAAUCUUUUGCAAAAUCAUCUAGCUGCAUCAUUUGACGAUUAUGACAG